UGAGGAGUAUUGGUCAAUGGGCGGAAGCCUGAACCAGCCAUGCCGCGUGCAGGACGACGGCCCUACGGGUUGUAAACUGCUUUUCCGGGGGAAGAAUAACCCCCCUGCGGGGGGGGAUGCCGGUACCCCGGGAAUAAGGAUCGGCUAACUCCGUGCCAGCAGCCGCGGUAAUACGGAGGAUCCUAGCGUUAUCCGGAUUUACUGGGUUUAAAGGGUGCGUAGGCGGACCCCUAAGUCCGCGGUGAAAGUCUGCGGCUCAACCGUAGGAUUGCCGUGGAUACUGGGGGUCUUGGAUUCGGUCGGGGCGGGCGGAAUGCGUGGUGUAGCGGUGAAAUGCAUAGAUAUCACGCAGAACGCCGAUAGCGAAGGCAGCUCGCCGGGCCGAUAUUGACGCUGAGGCACGAAAGCGUGGGGAUCGAACAG
rnacentral:rRNA from 1 species